rnacentral:rRNA from 1 species
UACUAGAGUAGCACUCGCAUAUCAAUAAGCGGAGGAAAAGAAACUAACAAGGAUUCCCCUAGUAACGGCGAGUGAAGAGGGAAGAGCUCAAAUUUGAAAUCUUAAAGGGUUUCCCUUUACGAAUUGUAGUUUAAAGAAGUGUUUUCUGUUGAGGUUUUGGUAAAAGUUCUUUGGAAUAGGACAUCAUAGAGGGUGAGAAUCCCGUAUUUGACCUUUACUUUCAACUUUGUGAUACACUUUCAAAGAGUCGGAUUGUUUGGGAAUGCAGUCCAAAAUGGGUGGUAAAUUUCAUCUAAAGCUAAAUAUUGGCGAGAGACCGAUAGCGAACAAGUACCGUGAGGGAAAGAUGAAAAGAACUUUGAAAAGAGAGUUAAACAGUACGUGAAAUUGUCAAAAGGGAAGCGUUUGACACCAGUGUUGUUUUUCUGAAAAUCAAUUAAAGAACUGUUUAUGCUAAGUUGUUUAGACUUUAUCAGCUAACUGUUUAGUUUUGAGCUUUUCUUUAAUGCACUUUUCAGUUAACAAGUCAACAUCGGUUUCUUUUGCUGUAAAAAAGCUUGAGGAAGGUGGCUUGAGAUUCGUCUUAAGUGUUUAUAGCCUCUUGCCUAUGCAGUCGGAGAGAUUGAGGUCUGCAGCGUAGAUCCUUCGGGGCUAAAUGCAUUUGUGCUAAGUUAUAGCAUUUUAUAGACAACUUGUUGACUAUGAUUUGUCUUGUAGCUUACUCGCUUAUGUUAUUUUACCUACGCUUAGGAUGUUGAGCGCAUGUCUCUCUCU